rnacentral:lncRNA from 1 species
CGGACGGGCUGGGCUUCAGGCAGAGUGGCGCCUCCCACCAACACCUAAUGGUGGUUUCUUAAUGUGCACGAGAGAAAUAAAUGAUCCUAGCAAACCCCCACUUGGAAGUGUGUGGCAAAAACACCUCCCGACCGAUCGUGAGCCCGUCUCCGGAACGGAUCCGAUGGGGUCAGACUGACGCUGUGGGGCGAGGGAGCUGGGCCCGAGCGCGUGGGAGGUUGUCUGCACUCCCCAGCCUGAUGGCGGGUGCUGCUGGAUGGAGAGCCACCUUUCCUCCGAGUUCCUCUGAGAGAUGCUGGUGAAGCAGACGACCUUUGCGCGGUUAGACCUGGCAGAUGUCUCCAAGCCGAUUUAGGACAACUUACCGUAGAAAACAAAGUAUGGUCUUUAAAUGUAGCCGAAAGCACACGCACACACGUCACAUGGCAACUGACUGUGAGAGGUAAAAUUUAGAAGGAUUUGGGUCGAUACCCAAAAUUGUGUUGCGGGUUCCUUACCUUGGGUGGCGAGGCGCCUGUGUACCUGUAUCUCAGGUGCAGUAUGGGACCUGCCUGGGGGAACCGGGGGACUGGAAGGGAAAGAAAGGAAGGGAUAGAGAGCCAGCCUCAGCGUGCUUUAUGCUGAUGAUGCAAAACCUUGCUUGUCAACGCUCCCCGGAUUUCCUGGUCUAAAGUGGAAACUGGAAAGAUGUUUUUAUUUACAAGCUCCGAGAAUGAGAAGUUGAGGAUGGCAGGCUCCUGAUACACCUCCCCAGCUGUGUAGGAUUGGCGCCGAUGCUGGAACCAGCGUUCUCGUGUUCCGAUACAGCCUCCACAAAGAUGAAGUUUUCAAGGUAUCCAUUUUAUUCGCAGGUGGAGAGCCGUACAGUACACGGAAAAGACUGCAGAGAGCAGAGGAUGCAUUGAAACGGGAACCACCCCCCGGGAUUUGGUGCCUACCAGAGUAUUUUGCACAGACGCGGUUAAUAAAUUAUUUUCGAUGGCAGUAAUGCGGCUGUCACCUCUCUCACAACAUUGAGACUUUCCCCAUAGGAAAGCUUUUGAGUUUCAGUUUGCUAGAACGUGCCCUAAUCCAGUAGUGCUGAAUUAUGGUUCCAAAAAUUGCAAGUGAAAAAAAUAUAUAUCACA